rnacentral:rRNA from 1 species
GUGCAGCAGGCGCGAAAACUUUACAAUGCAGGCAACUGUGAUAAGGGAACCCCGAGUGCCCGUAUGGACGGGCUGUUCAGGUGCUUAAAAACCACCUGGAGAAAGGGCCGGGCAAGACCGGUGCCAGCCGCCGCGGUAAUACCGGCGGCUCGAGUGGUGGCCACUAUUACUGGGCUUAAAGCGUCCGUAGCUUGGUCGUUAAGCCUCUGGGGAAAUCUUCCGGCUCAACCGGAAGGCGUCUCAGGGGAACUGGCGGCCUAGGGAUCGGGAGAGGUGAGAGGUACUCUGGGGGUAGGAGUGAAAUCCUGUAAUCCUCAGGGGACCACCUGUGGCGAAGGCGUCUCACCAGAACGACUCCGACAGUGAGGGACGAAAGCUGGGGGAGCAAACCGGAUUAGAUACCCGUGUAGUCC